CAUGGGUGGAUUUUGAUACAUAACACAUACUGGGUGGGGCAACUCCACCCUUGGCCCACAGCCUAGCUUCAGCAAAUGGAUCCCUCAGCCUCCUGCCAGAGCUGGCCUUGUGGCUGUGUGGCCCUAAGACCUCCCAAGAAGACCUGGGUGCCACAGGAAGAGAUCCUGCUGACUCAGGAGGAGGCCAGCUCCCACCCUGAGGCAGCCAAGUGAGGCCGGCUGAGAAGCUGCAUGCAGCAGUGUUGACAUUUCAAAUACUUACUGACUGGCUCAAAUAAAUUUUCUCCCCCCACCCCCAAAACGAAGUUACUCUCAGAGGACUGGGUUGUGAAAUCCAUACUGCUUAUCAACUGGGGAGCCCAGAAUGACCAGUAAAUUUACCAGGACCCAACAGAGAAGCAGCAAACUACGGAAGAAAUACAAAUGUUUCCCUAUCAUUCUGUCAUCUAGAAAUGCAGUCUAACCUGGGAAAGCCAGAGGAAAAUGUCCACCCAAGACAGAUGUGUUCCUCUAUUCAACACGAUUUAGAUAAAGCGAACGUAGGAAACCAGGAUGGAUGAAUGGUACUGAGAACCAAACCACAACAAUGCAAACAUCUCCCACACAGCCUGGCAAGAGCCCCUGCCUCUGCCCUGAAGGGAUUACUGCCUCCAUCUAAAAGAUGAUUCAUUCUCCAUUUCUUCUCAGGAUGCCAUCUCCAUUUCGGCUCUCAGUUGCCAUGGCAUCCUCUUCUUUCUCCUUUCAGGUACUCACAGCUCCCAUAACAGAGUUGCGACAUGACCCUGAUCAAAGAUGAUUAGUUAGGGAUGAUUAUAAAACAAGGCAAUGGCAAAGUCAGUAGAUUGUAGGUAGAACAAUUUGAUACUAACCUUUAAUACCUGUUUCCCUUAAAAGGUUUUCAUUAUAUCUGGGUCUCAGAAGUCAACACAGCAUCCCUCAACUUGAUAUUCAACCUCAUUAUGCACUUGUCUUAUUUUUUUAAGACAACUGUCCUAAGUUGUUUAAAAGGGGAAAGGAGAACCUGGUCAAUAAGAUGAUGGAUAUAGCAAGAUAGAAAGAAGACAGACAAAGAAGUCGCCAUCUCUACCCCACAUACAAAAAGGUCUUUAGUCCAAACCCUCUGUUGUACAGAUGAGGAAACUGAGGGAUCCUAGGUCCCACAAUCAGUAGCAGAGUUGGGUCCAUGGGGGUGGCUCAGGGCUUCAGUCCUCAGUGCUUCCCUUGCUCAAAAGCUGAGCCUCAAUAAAGGACCAGCUGAAUCAACAAAAGGGAGUGGAGAACCUUCUGAGCACAGGAAUUAUAUUGCCCUCCUCCCUUCUGAAUACAGGCUGCAGGCAUGCCAGGAGCAUUCAAGAGCAGAGGGGCCAAAUGACCUUCACAAAGAGGUAGGAGAAAGUCCAAUGACACCGAACAUCAGGCAGCCAGGCUGUUCCUCCUCCUGCAAAGCACAGAUACUUCAAUCUAAACCAGUUCAGAGGAAUAAGCCAGAUCUGUAAGAAAAACUAAUUUUAAAAACCCAUAGAGCACCUUGCAGUCUAACAUUUACAUAUAAUUAUUAAAUUUAUUGGUGUAACAUUGGUUAAAACAUUACGUAAAUUGCAGCUGUACAACUUUAUAAUAAAAAGGUUGUAUACUGUGUGCUUAC